rnacentral:tRNA from 1 species
GGGGUUGUGGCUCAAUGGUGGAGCACUCGCCUAACAUGCGUGAGGCACUGGGUUCGAUCCCCAGCACCA